GUACUCAUUUCGGCAGCACAUAUACUAAAAUUGGAAUGAUACAGAGAAGAUUCGGAUGACACACAAAUUCGUGACGUGUUCCAUAUUAGA
rnacentral:snRNA from 1 species